rnacentral:rRNA from 1 species
AUUGAACGCUGGCGGCAGGCUUAACAUAUGCAAGUCGAGCGGGGUGAUGGUGCUUGCACUAUCACUUAGCGGCGGACGGGUGAGUAAUGCUUAGGAAUCUGCCUAUUAGUGGGGGACAACAUCUCGAAAGGGAUUCUAAUACCGCAUACGUCCUACGGGAGAAAGCAGGGGAUCACUUGUGACCUUGCGCUAAUAGAUGAGCCUAAGUCGGAUUAGCUAGUUGGUGGGGUAAAGGCCUACCAAGGCGACGAUCUGUAGCGGGUCUGAGAGGAUGAUCCGCCAAACUGGGAAUGAGACACGGCCCAGACUCCUACGGGAGGAAGCAGUGGGGAAUAUUGGAAAAUGGGGGGAACCCUGAUCCAGCCAUGCCGCGUGUGUGAAGAAGGCCUUAUGGUUGUAAAGCACUUUAAGCGAGGAGGAGGCUCUUUUGGUUAAUACCCAAGAUGAGUGGACGUUACUCGCAGAAUAAGCACCGGCUAACUCUGUGCCAGCCGCCGCCGUAA